ACAUGGUCCGCUGGCAGGCCGGAGAGAGACACGUGGUCACCGCGUGGAAGCACGCAGAGAACACCGACCUGGAGUCAGAUUGACACCACUAAUGCCAUUAGUGAGAGCGAAGGAAUGAGGAUAACUCAGAUCCAAGCUCCACACUGCUACCUCAUAUGUGAUGAAUAAAUAUUCGAAACGUCUGAAUAAUAAACACAGCUGUCUAAACCAGUUUUUUCA